rnacentral:lncRNA from 1 species
GGGAGUUGACUUGCCAAAUGUCACAAGGCUGAAACGUGGAUACUGGCAGUCUCCUCCCUUCUCACAGAUGGAAAAUUAUGGGCCAAAGCCAACAGAAGUCAACUGGGUGCUGGAAACCAGCUUACGAGAGAGUUAGCAAAACAUGUGAAGGAAGGGAAGAGAAACUGGUACAAUCUUAUAGAUCCCCCCUGCUUCUUCUUUCAGGAUCAGGUGUGGGUUCUGGAAAUCUACCUGCUUUGCCCACUGAGACGCUACAGCAGAGAAGCUCAGCACCCUAUUAAACCUUAUUAAGCUGAAUGGGAGUUACUCCCAACUAUAAGUAUACAUGGAUUGCAGCCUCAAGCACCUAAGAUUGCCUGCUAUGGGUAGCGCAGAUCCAUAAACGCCGCCUUACCUAUCCGCCACACAGGAAUGCAAGGGAGAACCAGCCACAGAACAAACAAUGUGGAGUUGAUGGAGAUGGAGAGAUUCCAGUUUUGUGCCUAAGAGCCUUUCAAGGAAACACAAAUGCCUGAACCACUAAUAGACUCUUGGCAUCCCAGCUAGAGUCACUGCAUGUGCUCACCCUAGUCAUUUUGGUGUCUCCUCCCUGUGACUCAGCCCUUGCUGAUAUCUAGCAACAGAGAGUGCUUCUAAGUUAAUUACACACAUUGCAACUGGAAGUAUUUGCACCAAGCUGGAGACUCUGCAAGAGUUCUUUCGGUCAUGCAGAAGUGCCUGUGGUAAAUCAAGCCACUCCCCUCCUCAUUUGUUCCCAGGUCUACCUUCACGUGGCCAUAGCGGUUUGGGCAACACAUAGACCAAACAUAGCUCAUCAAUGGACAAUACACUUUAGUCCACGCUAGCAGAUGAGUUAAACUUUUAAACCAUAUGCAAAGUUGGAUAGAAGUUAUGGCCCCACAUCUUUCCCAAGCCCAUAGUGUAGUCACUAGACAUGCAGUUUAAGGAGCAAUCUUGUGCCAUCCUGUCCUUUCUAAUCUUUGAAAAAGAUAAUAGGGCUUCUCCAUACAUCCUUUUCAUUGUGCUUGUGUUUGCGAUAGUAUUGGGUAGAAUCAUAGUAUUGCAGAUGUUUUGUUAUGUUUUUAUAUGUCCUGGAAGCUGCCCAGAGUGGCUGGGGAAAUCCAGCCAGGUGGGCGGGGUAUAACAACAACAACAACAACAACAACAACAACAACAGUUGUUGGAAGUGACCCCAAGGGUCAUCUAGUCCAACCCCCUGCAAUGCAGGAAUCUCAGCGAUAGCAUCCGUGACAGAUGGCGUAGGUAUAUGCGAUCUUGCUUUCAGUACUAUUUGUGCCUGCAAAUGUUUCGGGGCGGACAUACUGCCUCAUUUCGUGUCUGCUGAAAUCCUGUAACUUUUCAUACCACAAGAUUCUGGCUUAUUUAUUUAUUUUGUCCCAUUUUUAUUGUGCUAUAUAGUUGUACCUUGGUUCUCAAAUGCCUUGGUACUCAAAACCAAACAGUGCUAACCUAGAGGUAAGUGUUCCGGUUUGCGAACUUUUUCCGGAAGCUGAACUUACUCCGUUUUGAGUGUUACGCUUCCGAUUUGAGUGCCACACUUCUGUUUUGAGCGUUACACUGAGGUCUGUCUGUUUUUUGCUAUUUAUUUUACGUUUUUGUGACUUUUUGUGUGUGACUGUGUGGAACUCAGUUCAGCUACUGAUUGAUUGAUUGAUUGAUUGAUUGUGUGACUGCAGUACGUUGUUUACUGCUUUCAUUUUAUGGAUCAACGGUCUCGUCAGAGAGUAAAAUUCAUGUUAAAUUGCUGUUUUAGAGGUUGUUUUUAAAAGUCUGGAAUGGAUUAAUCUGUUUUGCAUUACUUUCUAUGGGAAAGCAUGCCUUGGUUUUGGAAUGCUUUGGUUUUGGAACGGACUUCCAGAACGGAUUAAGUUUGAGAACCAAGGUACCACUGUAGUGCAAAAGUGCCUGUCCGGAUGGCUAUAAUGCAGUAACAAAGAGGAAGCAUAGCAGAGCAACUAAUAAAGCAGAAUGAUGUGCGGAUGGUCCAGAGUAAAUCUACCACUAAUGCACAAUUAUUGCAUCACUGGCGUGUCACAGAAGACACCAGCAAAAAAGGCAAACACACACAAGGCAGGAGGGGCCCUGAGACUGGCUGACUGAGAUGGGGAGAUAACGUUUAACAGUGAGGAAGCCAAGGCUGCAAUUUUAUGCAUGCUUGCUUGGGUCAGUAUCAGCCUCACUGCAGAAAUUACCGUAACAGGUAAUAAACAUUGAGUAAAUGGAAUAAAGUGCUGCCUGUAGGCAGCAUAAGAUUUAUCUGCAAGGCUGUCGUCCUCAAAACAUUAGUGUGCAAUUUACUUCUACUGAAGCUAGUUAUUUCGGAUCCCAAAUAAUUAACUGGAAGACAUAGCCAUCAAGGAGACUUAUAACCCACUUCCUUUCUGCAAAAUUGGGACCCAUAAGGAAAUUAAACAGGACAUCUUAUGGGAAAGGUGUUGCCCUAAAAGUUUUAUGAAUCUUGCUGCGAGGCUCUGAAGCUGCUUACUUAGAGUGUAAGGUAACAUUUGAACUUUUCACUCCCAAGCAACAAUGCUUCACACACCCACCUCUGCCCCAUUUCUUCUUUCUUUGGGAAAAAUAGUUGUGGUCACCAUUCUGCUUUUAUGCCUCCGUGUAUUACUAACUAAUAAAAAUUUUAGUCUCUCUCUCUCCCCCCCCCCCGUGGUAUUUAUUGCACUCUUAGUUAUCUACCUAAAUGGCUUCAAAGCUGUCUGCUUUGCAAGACAAAUAAGAAAGGAAGGAUAAAAGCCAGAGGGAAAUGUGUGGACUACAAGCAAGCCUGCAUGACAUUGAGGCCUCUUCAAGCAAAAACCAUUUAUUCGGCAGUCAUCCUGAUUUGUUUCCAAAGAGGUUGGAAGACACAGGUGUUAUCCCACACUUUCUGGUUCAUUUCCCCAUCACUUGCCUUACAGCAAAAAGCCUGAACUUUUUGGGAAGAAGUUUUGUUGCACAAUUCCUAACCUCAACUACCAUUGUACAACCUGAAAUUGCUGGUCUGUGACUGAAUUCCAUCCCAAAAUAGCGGUAGUUUGGAAGCACCCGUACUGUACAUUCUAUUGAAAUAAAUGAGAGCUUUGCAGAAAAUAAAAUAAGACCUAUGUAUGGUGAAACAAAGAGGAAUGAAGCCUGAAAAUCCACUUGCUGGAUUGCAGACAUAACAUUAAUGGUGAAGGAAUUAUAUACAACAGCUCUAUAAACUACAAGGAAGGAAAAAGUACCAGUAAACCUCUCUGCCUGACAUUUUGGACAAAUAUCCUUGCACAACACUAAGAUCCAAUAAAGAUCUAAAUUCCAAUCUAUGUUCUGCAUGUAAUUUUGAGAAGACAGAAGUUGUAGCCAUGGAAUAAAGUUGCUAUCUAUUUCAAAGAGUGACUCCAUUUUCUCAGUUACAUUAUGGAUUAUUAUGGCC